CAAGUACUCCCUCUGUCCGGAAUUACUUGUCAUCAAAAUGGAUGUGUCUAGAACUAAAAUACAUCUAGAUACAUCCAUUUCAAUGACAAGUAUUUUCGAACGAAGGGAGUACAAG
rnacentral:pre_miRNA from 1 species